AAUAGAAAUGAUGUACAUUAAACUACUGUGUAUAUUAAUUAUUUCAAACACUACCAUAUAGCACUUUUAAGUGUUCUGUAAGCAAAAAAUAUAUAUAGUUGUGGUUAUCAUGCAAACCACAAGAACCCUCCAAGGUUGUAAGUAGUUUGGGAUUAUUUUGGUCCUCUUUUUGAAGUUUUCUGCGUAAUGGUUUUCUUUUGGGGAUGUUAUUACUACUGCUAUAAAUCUAGAACUUAACUAUUGAUACUUGUGUUUUGAAAACAGUGUUCACCUUUGGACAUUAUCCAUGUUUGGAGAGUGGCAUACCACUUUACCUGUGCUUAUUGUGAACACAGGAAUUUGCCCCAAAUUUCUAUCUUUUUGUAGAUGGAUUGUAGCACAAUAAUUAAUGAAUUUUCAGUGGUACCGCUCAAUAUUUUGGGAACUUUGCAAACCUAAGUAUCAGAUGUACUUUUUUUUUUUAAUUGCUUAUUACCAUGUAACACAGUGUCUUCUCUUUAUGCCAAACUGGUGAACAAACAUAUAGAAUUGUUUCACUGAUGUGGAAUGUUGAGUACCGGCAGUUUUAUAAGUACAAGUCAGAAAGAGGCAGGACAGAUGGCCUCUUGUACUGAACGCUUCAAGAACUUAAUUUGUCCUAGUUUUCUGACAAAGACUUGACUCUGGUUUUCAUAGAGCUUGGUUUUUACCUAUCAUAGAGCAGAUUAGAUGGUAGUGAUGCACUGGUAGAGAUGGUUUUUAGUUAUUGACUCAGAAUUCAUCUCAUGAUUGAAUCUUUUAUGUUGUUUUACUGUAUGUAUAUCUACAUUGACUUAAUAAACAUGGGUUUAGUAACUUUGUGUUAAAAUUUGGCCUGGUAACAAUAAUUUCAUUUUUACCUAUCAAGGAGUAGAAAAAUCUCCAUGUAUUGGUAUGUGUAUAUUGACGUUAUUUGGUACUCAUGUGAUAUGUGAAAUAAAAUGGAUUUUUCUACAGCUUAAUGAUUUCCCUCUGGGGAGAGUUCUGGUACAGCAAUCACACUGCCAGAUGGUGUUUAUGGGCUAUUUAUGUAAGUGGUAAGAUACUAUGAAAUAAAGGGUGCUUUCAUCAGAUGGAAACUCUUGAUGCAUGUGUUUUUGUGUAGAAUAAAUUUGGGUGCAAUGUGAUGUCACUCCAUGUUGCAUUAAAUUUAAUUUCAAUUAUAUUUAUGUAGACGUAUAUCUGUCAUGCUUCUAGUUGCUUCAACCUUUGUAUCUAUAUAUUUUUUACUUAUUUUAAUAGAAAAUAUUUUAAGUGGAAAUUGAAUAAAAAUUUGAUAGUUUAAUAAAAGUCAUUGCGGUUUUUAAAAAAA
rnacentral:lncRNA from 1 species